AACCCGAAGCAUAUGUCCGGGCAAUGACAUAUACCUCCCUGUUGGACUUGGGCCGGACAUAUUGUCUGGCCCAUUUU
rnacentral:ncRNA from 1 species